rnacentral:tRNA from 1 species
GGGGCCGAGAUGGUCUAAUGGGGGAAGACCAUUGUUACCCGGUAGCCCUGCAAGCAUGCAGGUUCCAGGUUCGAAUCCUGGCGGCCCCA